rnacentral:rRNA from 1 species
GUCCACGCCCUAAACGAUGUCUACUAGUUGUUGGUGGAGUAAAAUCCAUGAGUAACGCAGCUAACGCGUGAAGUAGACCGCCUGGGGAGUACGGUCGCAAGAUUAAAACUCAAAUGAAUUGACGGGGGCCCGCACAAGCGGUGGAUUAUGUGGAUUAAUUCGAUGCAACGCGAAAAAACCUUACCUGGCCUUGACAUGUAGCGAACUUUCCAGAGAUGGAUUGGUGCCCGAAAGGGAACGCUAACACAGGUGCUGCAUGGCUGUCGU